GUUAUAUGGUCAAGUGAAGAAGCGCAUACGGUGGAUGCCUUGGCAGUCAGAGGCGAUGAAAGACGUGGUAGCCUGCGAAAAGCUUCGGGGAGUCGGCAAACAGACUUUGAUCCGGAGAUGUCUGAAUGGGGGAACCCAGCCAUCAUAAGAUGGUUAUCUUACGCUGAAUACAUAGGCGUAAGAGGCGAACCAGGGGAACUGAAACAUCUAAGUACCCUGAGGAAAAGAAAUCAACCGAGAUUCCCUUAGUAGUGGCGAGCGAACGGGGACUAGCCCUUAAGUGGCUUUGAGAUUAGCGGAACGCUCUGGAAAGURCGGCCAUAGUGGGUGAUAGCCCUGUACGCGAAAAUCUCUUAGUCAUGAAAUCGAGUAGGACGGAGCACGAGAAACUUUGUCUGAAUAUGGGGGGACCAUCCUCCAAGGCUAAAUACUACUGACUGACCGAUAGUGAACUAGUACCGUGAGGGAAAGGCGAAAAGAACCCCGGAGAGGGGAGUGAAAUAGAUCCUGAAACCGUAUGCGUACAAGCAGUGGGAGCCCACUUUGUUGGGUGACUGCGUACCUUUUGUAUAAUGGGUCAGCGACUUAUUUUCAGUGGCGAGCUUAACCGAAUAGGGGAGGCGUAGCGAAAGCGAGUCUUAAUAGGGCGUCUAGUCGCUGGGAAUAGACCCGAAACCGGGCGAUCUAUCCAUGGGCAGGUUGAAGGUUGGGUAACACUAACUGGAGGACCGAACCGACUACCGUUGAAAAGUUAGCGGAUGACCUGUGGAUCGGAGUGAAAGGCUAAUCAAGCUCGGAGAUAGCUGGUUCUCCUCGAAAGCUAUUUAGGUAGCGCCUCAUGUAUCACUGUAGGGGGUAGAGCACUGUUUCGGCUAGGGGGUCAUCCCGACUUACCAAACCGAUGCAAACUCCGAAUACCUACAAGUGCCGAGCAUGGGAGACACACGGCGGGUGCUAACGUCCGUCGUGAAAAGGGAAACAACCCAGACCGUCAGCUAAGGUCCCAAAGUUAUGGUUAAGUGGGAAACGAUGUGGGAAGGCUUAGACAGCUAGGAGGUUGGCUUAGAAGCAGCCACCCUUUAAAGAAAGCGUAAUAGCUCACUAGUCGAGUCGGCCUGCGCGGAAGAUGUAACGGGGCUCAAACCAUACACCGAAGCUACGGGUAUCACGUAAGUGAUGCGGUAGAGGAGCGUUCUGUAAGCCUGUGAAGGUGAGUUGAGAAGCUUGCUGGAGGUAUCAGAAGUGCGAAUGCUGACAUGAGUAACGACAAUGGGUGUGAAAAACACCCACGCCGAAAGACCAAGGUUUCCUGCGCAACGUUAAUCGACGCAGGGUUAGUCGGUCCCUAAGGCGAGGCUGAAAAGCGUAGUCGAUGGAAAACAGGUUAAUAUUCCUGUACUUCUGGUUAUUGCGAUGGAGGGACGGAGAAGGCUAGGCCAGCUUGGCGUUGGUUGUCCAAGUUUAAGGUGGUAGGCUGGAAUCUUAGGUAAAUCCGGGAUUCUAAGGCCGAGAGCUGAUGACGAGCUAACUUUUAGUUAGCGAAGUGGUUGAUGCCAUGCUUCCAAGAAAAGCUUCUAAGCUUCAGGUAACCAGGAACCGUACCCCAAACCGACACAGGUGGUUGGGUAGAGAAUACCAAGGCGCUUGAGAGAACUCGGGUGAAGGAACUAGGCAAAAUGGCACCGUAACUUCGGGAGAAGGUGCGCCGGUGAGGGUGAAGGACUUGCUCCGUAAGCUCAUGCCGGUCGAAGAUACCAGGCCGCUGCGACUGUUUAUUAAAAACACAGCACUCUGCAAACACGAAAGUGGACGUAUAGGGUGUGACGCCUGCCCGGUGCCGGAAGGUUAAUUGAUGGGGUUAGCUAACGCGAAGCUCUUGAUCGAAGCCCCGGUAAACGGCGGCCGUAACUAUAACGGUCCUAAGGUAGCGAAAUUCCUUGUCGGGUAAGUUCCGACCUGCACGAAUGGAUUGAAAUCGCUGUGAAGAUGCAGUGUAUCCGCGGCUAGACGGAAAGACCCCGUGAACCUUUACUAUAGCUUUGCACUGGACUUUGAAUUUGCUUGUGUAGGAUAGGUGGGAGGCUUUGAAGCGUGGACGCCAGUCUGCGUGGAGCCAACCUUGAAAUACCACCCUGGCAACUUUGAGGUUCUAACUCAGGUCCGUUAUCCGGAUCGAGGACAGUGUAUGGUGGGUAGUUUGACUGGGGCGGUCUCCUCCUAAAGAGUAACGGAGGAGUACGAAGGUGCGCUCAGACCGGUCGGAAAUCGGUCGUAGAGUAUAAAGGCAAAAGCGCGCUUGACUGCGAGACAGACACGUCGAGCAGGUACGAAAGUAGGUCUUAGUGAUCCGGUGGUUCUGUAUGGAAGGGCCAUCGCUCAACGGAUAAAAGGUACUCCGGGGAUAACAGGCUGAUACCGCCCAAGAGUUCAUAUCGACGGCGGUGUUUGGCACCUCGAUGUCGGCUCAUCACAUCCUGGGGCUGAAGCCGGUCCCAAGGGUAUGGCUGUUCGCCAUUUAAAGUGGUACGCGAGCUGGGUUUAGAACGUCGUGAGACAGUUCGGUCCCUAUCUGCCGUGGACGUUUGAGAUUUGAGAGGGGCUGCUCCUAGUACGAGAGGACCGGAGUGGACGAACCUCUGGUGUUCCGGUUGUCACGCCAGUGGCAUUGCCGGGUAGCUAUGUUCGGAAUAGAUAACCGCUGAAAGCAUCUAAGCGGGAAACUAGCCUCAAGAUGAGAUCUCACUGGGACCUUGAGUCCCCUGAAGGGCCGUCGAAGACUACGACGUUGAUAGGUUGGGUGUGUAAGCGCUGUGAGGCGUUGAGCUAACCAAUACUAAUUGCCCGUGAGGCUUGACCAUAUAACACCCAAGCAAUU
rnacentral:rRNA from 1 species